AUGCUUUCGCCGUUGCGGAUCCCUUUGCCGGCACCGAGGUGCCAGAGAAGCCGCGGCCGCCGUCGCGACGCCGCUGCCGACAUCCUCCAUCGCCGCCCCGGCUCCGGCCAUCCAGGUGCCGCCGACCCACGCACGCCGCCGCUCCACGCGCGUGGUCUUCCCCUCCACGCCUCCAUGCGCCGCUGCAGCCCACGCACGCCAUCUACCCCUUUAAACCUUCAUGUGCCGCCGAUGAGUUCGUCGUUGUCGACGGGGAGAGCGGGGGGAACAACCUCGGGGAGCGAGAGGCCGUCACCGGCCCCGGGAUUCGGCACCGCGCGACCGUCAUCGACGCAGUCCGGAGGUACCAAGUCUGCUACUCGUACCGACAUGUUGGUCGACGUAGGAAUGGUAGCUGGCUGUGAUAAUCUUGAGGUUCCACGACAUGUUGGGAAUGGAAGUGCAUCCCCCGCGAAAGGCACAAAGAGGAAAUUUGUUGUUGAUGCAACCAAAGGUGCAUCACCAGGUGUUAAUGCAAGUAACACUGGGCAGCACCUGCAUUACCACAGAAAAGGUAAUGGUCCUGGGAAACGUGCAAAGCUGGAAGACAACAAAGGUGCUAGUAGGUUGGGGAGAGAUCAGACACCAAUCGGCGUAUUUGAAGAUGAAUGCGUUUUCUGCCAUUCAUUUAGAACCAGUGAGCCGUGUCAUGGUCCGAUGGUCCGAUGGUACUGUAUCACAAUCGAAGGAUUGUGCCCAGUGACGAGGGCAACCCUACCAACGCCAUCUAUGUCCACGAGAAAUGCAUGGUUUGGGCCCCAAAAGUAG
rnacentral:rRNA from 1 species